GUGCUCGCUUUGGCAGCAAAUAUACUAAAACUGGAAUGAUACAGAGAAGAUUAGUAUGGCCCCUGCACAAGGAUGACACACAAAUUUGUGAAGUGUUCCAUACAAAA
rnacentral:snRNA from 1 species